rnacentral:rRNA from 1 species
AUUGAACGCUGGCGGCAUGCCUUACACAUGCAAGUCGAACGGUAACGGGCCUUCGGGUGCUGACGAGUGGCGAACGGGUGAGUAAUGUAUCGGAACGUACCUUUCAGUGGGGGAUAACGUAGCGAAAGUUACGCUAAUACCGCAUAUUCUGUGAGCAGGAAAGCAGGGGAUCGCAAGACCUUGCGCUGAUUGAGCGGCCGAUAUCAGAUUAGCUAGUUGGUGAGGUAAGGGCUCACCAAGGCGACGAUCUGUAGCGGGUCUGAGAGGAUGAUCCGCCACACUGGAACUGAGACACGGUCCAGACUCCUACGGGAGGCAGCAGUGGGGAAUUUUGGACAAUGGGGGCAACCCUGAUCCAGCCAUGCCGCGUGAGUGAAGAAGGCCUUCGGGUUGUAAAGCUCUUUCGGCCGGGAAGAAAUCGUAUCAGCUAAUACCUGGUGCGGAUGACGGUACCGGCAUAAGAAGCACCGGCUAACUACGUGCCAGCAGCCGCCGUAAAAC